rnacentral:rRNA from 1 species
UGGGGAAUUUUGGACAAUGGGCGAAAGCCUGAUCCAGCAAUGCCGCGUGUGUGAAGAAGGCCUUCGGGUUGUAAAGCACUUUUGUCCGGAAAGAAAUCCUUGGCUCUAAUACAGUCGGGGGAUGACGGUACCGGAAGAAUAAGCACCGGCUAACUACGUGCCAGCAGCCGCGGUAAUACGUAGGGUGCAAGCGUUAAUCGGAAUUACUGGGCGUAAAGCGUGCGCAGGCGGUUUGCUAAGACCGAUGUGAAAUCCCCGGGCUCAACCUGGGAACUGCAUUGGUGACUGGCAGGCUAGAGUAUGGCAGAGGGGGGUAGAAUUCCACGUGUAGCAGUGAAAUGCGUAGAGAUGUGGAGGAAUACCGAUGGCGAAGGCAGCCCCCUGGGCCAAUACUGACGCUCAUGCACGAAAGCGUGGGGAGCAAACAGGAUUAGAUACCCUGGUAGUCCACGCCCUAAACGAUGUCAACUAGUUGUUGGGGGAUUCAUUUCCUUAGUAACGUAGCUAACGCGUGAAGUUGACCGCCUGGGGAGUACGGUCGCAAGAUUAAAACUCAAAUGAAUUAACGGGGUCAUAGCUGUUUCC